CCACCGCGGUUAUACGAGAGACCCAAGUUGUUAAAUCACGGCGUAAAGGGUGGUUAAGACACAUCAAAUAAUAGAGCCGAAUACUUACAAAGUUGUUAUACACACACGAAACUAAGAAGCCCGAUCACGAAAGUGGCUUUAUAAUAUCUGAACCCACGUAAGCUAUGACACAAACUGGGAUUAGAUACCCCAUUAUGCUUAGCCGUAAACAUCGACAGCAUUUUAUACCCGCUGUCCGCCCGGGGACUACGAGCAACAGCUUAAAACCCAAAGGACUUGGCGGUGCUUUAGUCCCACCUAGAGGAGCCUGUUCUGGAACCGAUAAUCCCCGUUCAACCUCACCCUUUCUUGUUUCUCCCGCCUAUAUACCACCGUCGCAAGCUCACCCUAUGAGGGAUAAACAGUGAGCCCAAUUGGCAUUGCCCAGAACGUCAGGUCGAGGUGUAGCGAAUGAAAGGGGAAGAAAUGGGCUACAUUCUCUAACACAGAGUAUACGGAAGGUUACGCUGAAAUAUGUACCUGAAGGAGGAUUUAGUAGUAAGCAGGAAGUAGAGUGUCCCGCUGAAACCGGCUCUGAAGCGCGCACACACCGCCCGUCACUCUCCCCGAGCUAUAGAACCCAAUUAACUAAUAACCCAUGACUGCAAAGGGGAGGCAAGUCGUAACAUGGUAAGUG
rnacentral:rRNA from 1 species